CGUAAGGUGGCUGAUAAAAGCAAUAGCCUCUUAAGCUUUACUAUGGUGUAAUUAACCCCUUACGG
rnacentral:tRNA from 1 species